AGUUUCCUCUCUCUUGCUUAUCAUCGGUGUCGGCCGUGGGUUAUGUUCUCCCAGAAGUAGAGCCUGAGACAAAGAUGGGGUGCAAGGAGUUUGGGAGGUGUUGGGAUCACUGUCAGACGGGCAGAGAGGAACGGCAGCCAAUAAAAGGAAAGUGGCAGGUUUCAACAGGCAAAGAUGUAUACUACGUCUACAAGAAGUUGACUACUCCAGCAAUCCAGCCAAUGGGAAACUGUCUUCUCCUGGACCUCUGCUUCUCUUUAAUGGACUUUUGUUCCAAACAAUCCCUAUCAGCUUCCUCAAUUUCUAUAAAAAUAUUCCUCUCCUUU